AACGAACGCUGGCGGCAUGCCUAACACAUGCAAGUCGAACGAGACCUUCGGGUCUAGUGGCGCACGGGUGCGUAACGCGUGGGAACCUGCCCUUAGGUUCGGAAUAACUCUCCGAAAGGGGUGCUAAUACCGGAUAAUGUCUUCGGUCCAAAGAUUUAUCGCCUUUGGAUGGGCCCGCGUUGGAUUAGCUAGUUGGUAGGGUAAAAGCCUACCAAGGCGACGAUCCAUAGCUGGUUUGAGAGGAUGAUCAGCCACACUGGGACUGAGACACGGCCCAGACUCCUACGGGAGGCAGCAGUGGGGAAUAGUGGAAAAUGGGCGAAAGCCUGAUCCAGCAAGGCCGCGUGAGUGAUGAAGGCCUUAGAGUUGUAAAGCUCUUUUACCCGGGAUGAUAAUGACAGUACCGGGAGAAUAAGCUCCGGCUAACUCCGUG
rnacentral:rRNA from 1 species